rnacentral:rRNA from 1 species
ACGGGUGAGUAACAUUUAGGAAUCUGCCUAGUAGUGGGGGAUAGCUCGGGGAAACUCGAAUUAAUACCGCAUACGACCUACGGGUGAAAGGGGGCGCAAGCUCUUGCUAUUAGAUGAGCCUAAAUCAGAUUAGCUAGUUGGUGGGGUAAAGGCCUACCAAGCCGAAGACGGGUAGCGGGUGUGAGAGCAUGGCCCGCCGCAUCGGAACUGAGACACUGUCCGGACUCCUACGGGAGGCUGCAGUAACGAAUCUUCCGCAAUGCGCGAAAGCGUGACGGAGCAAUGCCGCGUGUGGGAUGAAGCGGUUACGCCGUGUAAACCACUGUCAGGACUUAGGAAGAACUGACCGAGUCCAAAGGAAGGGCCGGCUAAUCUCGUGCCAGCAGCCGCGGUAAUACGAGAGGCCCGAGCGUUAGGCGGAAUCACUGGGCUUAAAGGGUGCGUAGGCGGAUCAGUAAGCAUUUUGUGAAAUCCCUCGGCUCAACCGAGGAAUUGCAGAGUGAACUACUGAUCUUGAGGUAGGCAGAGGUCAUCGGAACGUACGGUGGAGCGGUGAAAUGCGUAGAUAUCGUACGGAACGCCGAAGGGGUAGCCAGGUGACUGGGCCUUACCUGACGCUGAGGCACGAAAGCGUGGGGAUCAAACAGGAUUAGAUACCCUGGUAGUCCACGCCGUAAACGAUGUGCACUAGUUUGGUGGAGAUCUGACUCUCUGCCAGACGCCGAGAAAUCAUUAAGUGCACCGCCUGGGGAGUACGGUCGCAAGGCUAAAACUCAAAGGAAUUGACGGGGGCUCACACAAGCGG